rnacentral:lncRNA from 10 species
CUUGCUUGCCUCCAUGUAAGACAUGCCUUUGCUCCUCCUUCACCUUCUGCCAUGAUUGCGAGGCCUCUACAGUCAUGUGGAACUCCUCUUUUUAUCCUGACUAGUCAUCCUUGAAUUUGGAGUUGUCCAUGAAGUUCUUCUACUGUCCAGAAAGAGGGCGCACACUUCCUUAGUUCCCAUCAGCGUGGUGGGAAAGAUUCCUACAGAGGCUGAAGAAAUAACAUUCUGGUGCUUUUUAAUGCUUAUCAAUGCAGAUCUUUCACCUGGGGAGCAAUCUGUUGUUCCCACUACAAUAAAAAAUAUGGAGUUUCUUUGAUAAAAAAUCUUAAUUUGUCUCUCCUUCUCCUUCUUCUUCCUCUUCCUUGCUGGAAGACAUGCAUGUCUGGC